UACAGAGGGUGCGAGCGUUGUCCGGAAUCACUGGGCGUAAAGGGCGCGUAGGCGGCUUGAUAAGGUUGCGGUGAAAGCCCGGGGCUCAACCCCGGGUCGGCCGUGGCAACUGUCGAGCUGGAGCACUGUAGAGGCAGGUGGAAUUCCGGGUGUAGCGGUGGAAUGCGUAGAGAUCCGGAAGAACACCGGUGGCGAAGGCGGCCUGCUGGGCAGUGGCUGACGCUGAGGCGCGACAGCGUGGGGGAGCAAACAGG
rnacentral:rRNA from 1 species